GCGGGCGUAGCUCAGUUGGUAGAGCGCAACCUUCCCAAGGUUGAUGCCGAGGGUUCGAGUCCCUUCGCCCGCUCCA
rnacentral:tRNA from 1 species